CAAUAGCGUAUAUUAAAGUUGUUGCGGUUAAAAAGCUCGUAGUUGGAUUUCUGCUUGGGACAACCGGUCCGCCCUCUGGGUGAGUAUCUGGCUUGGCCCGGGCAUCUUCUUGGGGAACGUUACUGCACUUGACUGUGUGGUGCGGAGCCCAGGACCUUUACUUUGAGGAAAUUAGAGUGUUUCAAGCAGGCAUUUGCCUUGAAUACAUUAGCAUGGAAUAAUAAGAUAGGACCUCGUCCCUACCUUGUUGGUUCGUAUGGAUGAGGUAAUGAUUAAUAGGGAUAGUCGGGGGCAUUCGUACUUAACUGUCAGAGGUGAAAUUCUUGGAUUUGUUAAAGACGGACUACUGCGAAAACAUUUGCCAAGGAUGUUUUCAUUGA
rnacentral:rRNA from 1 species